UAGGGAAUCUUCGGCAAUGGACGAAAGUCUGACCGAGCAACGCCGCGUGAGUGAUGAAGGUUUUCGGAUCGUAAAACUCUGUUGCCAGGGAAGAAUGGUUAGGCGAGUAACUGCGCUUGAUUUGACGGUACCUGAGAAGAAAGCCCCGGCUAACUACGUGCCAGCAGCCGCGGUAAUACGUAGGGGGCAAGCGUUGUCCGGAAUUAUUGGGCGUAAAGCGCGCGCAGGCGGUCAUUUAAGUCUGGUGUAUAAACCAAAGGCUCAACCUAUGGACGCAUUGGAAACUGGGUGACUGGAGUGUAGGAGAGGAAAGUGGAAUUCCACGUGUAGCGGUGAAAUGCGUAGAGAUGUGGAGGAACACCAGUGGCGAAGGCGACUUUCUGGCCUAUAACUGACGCUGAGGCGCGAAAGCGUGGGGAGCAAACA
rnacentral:rRNA from 1 species